rfam:Gossypium hirsutum cultivar TM-1 unplaced genomic scaffold scaffold280.1, whole genome shotgun sequence
UGUUAAAAAUUUUGUCCAUUUAUACUAUUAAAAACUAGUGUGGCUGAAGAAUAAUCAAACAGUUCUAUAUGGCGUACCACAUGUUCCUCAUUCUAUUGUAUAGUGACAAAUUUUUAACAAUAAAAAUUGAUAAAAUUUCUAAAG